rnacentral:rRNA from 1 species
AUUGAACGCUGGCGGCAGGCCUAACACAUGCAAGUCGAGCGGAUGACGGGAGCUUGCUCCUUGAUUCAGCGGCGGACGGGUGAGUAAUGCCUAGGAAUCUGCCUGGUAGUGGGGGACAACGUUUCGAAAGGAACGCUAAUACCGCAUACGUCCUACGGGAGAAAGCAGGGGACCUUCGGGCCUUGCGCUAUCAGAUGAGCCUAGGUCAGAUUAGCUAGUAGGUGAGGUAAUGGCUCACCUAGGCGACGAUCCGUAACUGGUCUGAGAGGAUGAUCAGUCACACUGGAACUGAGACACGGUCCAGACUCCUACGGGAGGCAGCAGUGGGGAAUAUUGGACAAUGGGCGAAAGCCUGAUCCAGCCAUGCCGCGUGUGUGAAGGAGGUCUUCGGAUUGUAAAGCACUUUAAGUUGGGAGGAAGGGUUGUACGUUAAUACCGUGCAAUUUUGACGUUACCGACAGAAUAAGCACCGGCUAACUCUGUGCCAGCCGCCGCCGUAA